AGGUAGUAAUAAAAUUUUUAUAAAACCUUUAAAUUAUGGCGGCAUUUUAUCUAAUUAGAGGAAUUUGUUUUUUAAUCGAUAAUACACGAUAAAUUUUACUUUUUUAUAAAUUUUAUAUACCUCCAUUUUAAGAAUUAAUUAAUAAAUACUAUUCAAAAAAAUAUAUAAAAAAAUAGGUAAAGGUGUAGACCACAAAAAAGUUAAAAUGGAUUACAUUAAAUUUAAUUUAAGGAUUUAAUCUUAAAAAAUUUUUAAAAAAGGAUUUAUAAGUAAAAAUUAAAUAAUAUUUUAUUUUGAAUAAGAUAAUAAAUGUGC
rnacentral:rRNA from 1 species